GCUGGUGUAGCUCAGUCGGUAGAGCAGCUGAUUCGUAAUCAGCAGGUCGCGGGUUCAAAUCCCAUCACCAGCUCCA
rnacentral:tRNA from 1 species